AUACUAAAUGUUCUUGUUUUUAUUUUUUUUUACAUUAGAAAACAAAAAGAACCCUAGAAAGUAGUCUAAGCAGUUAAAGUAUUCUCAAAAAUCAGAAUCCUAUCAUUUGAUUACCUAUUAUUCUGGGCCCAAUCUUUAGUGAAAAACGUUGUUGAAAAUACGUCUCGUAAAUCGCGUGAGGACUGUCAUGUGCCCAACGGAAUGAAAUCGUUUG